UAGGAUGUUUUUUAAGCAAAUUUAUAUAUAACAAUAUAUAAAUUCAAGUUAAUAAGACAACACGUUUGUCACCUUCAAACCUGGUUAUAAUCUCAUAGUAACAGGAUAAGCUUGUCAACAGACAUAAAAAGGCAAUAUCCAAUAGUCCAAAGUUCAAAUGUUUCUCUGGGCAUGUGUAAAACCGAAUAAAAGAUCAACUGACCAAUCAUAUAUCAACAACGAACACGCAGAACAAAGGUCAAUGUGAUAAGGGAGUUCACUUUGACAAAUAUCCCAACAAAGAGCAAUGUCUUGUUACCGAGAAAGAAAAUUUCCACCCACCCGUUCAUGUUCCUGGUAUCUGGUGCAUUGUAUGGGUACUAACUAAUGUUAUGCAAGGACUGUUCAAGAACAAUUUGUCAAGAAAGACUAUCGAACAAUUUUCUAAUGGAAAAUUAUCGCUAUGUAAAUACUUAAAUGUUCAAAGAAAUAAAUUUUGGUUCGGGGUUGAAGUGUUCCCAAUGGUCAACUUCAGGCCCAUAGACUCAGGUUAUUUAUGUAAAUAUAAUCAGUCGAAUCGUAGGUACUGUCCAAGGGGAUUAUCACCCCUUGGUUCAGGUCUAUGUCAGAGGGGGUCGCUACCCUUCGGGCAGAGCUCCUAUGGAGCAUUCAGUCUCUCCUAGCAGGUCUUAUAUAUACGCCUGCGGGAUGAAAACAUAAGGCUUAAUGAGUCUUUGGGUUGACCAGAGUUUGAGAGUAUAAUGUAUAUAAUUGGUUCACUUCACCCUGAACCCAUUCUCCCACAAUGAUUUGGUGUGUGUUUUACUUAUUUUCGGGCUGUUCUUUCACCUAACGUGCUUGAAUUAUUAUUUAGAUUAUAGA